rnacentral:rRNA from 1 species
CAGGCGGCGUACGUGAAGCUCGCGCUGCACGCGCUCAAGCACCCGGCGGCGGCCGUCAACGGGCUCCUCGUCGGCCGCCUGGCGGACCCGGCCGCCUCCCCGGUCGUCGUCUCGGUCGCCGACGCCGUGUCGCUCUCCCACCAGCCGCACCACCUCCCGCUGCUCCCCACGCUCGAGCUCGCGCUCACCCUCGUCGAGGACCACUUCCAGGCGCAGGUCCUCGCCGUCGUCGGAUACUACCACACCAACGCGCGCCGCGACGACGCCGACCUCCCCGCCAUCGCCAAGCGCGUCGGGGACCACAUCUUCCGCUACUUCCCCCGCACCGCCGUGCUGCUGGUCGAUGUUGUGCUUUCCUAUGUUUCCCCUGUCUUGAGCGGUUAUGGGGGUGCGGAGAUCUCGCUUGGGUGCUGA